GACGAACGCUGGCGGCGUGCUUAACACAUGCAAGUCGAACGGAAAGGCCUCUUUCGGGGGGUACUCGAGUGGCGAACGGGUGAGUAACACGUGAGUAACCUGCCCUUGACUUUGGGAUAACUUCAGGAAACUGGGGCUAAUACCGGAUAGGAGCUCCUGCUGCAUGGUGGGGGUUGGAAAGUUUCGGCGGUUGGGGAUGGACUCGCGGCUUAUCAGCUUGUUGGUGGGGUAGUGGCUUACCAAGGCUUUGACGGGUAGCCGGCCUGAGAGGGGGACCGGCCACAUUGGGACUGGGAUACGGCCCAGACUCCUACGGGAGGCAGCAGUGGGGAAUAUUGCACAAUGGGUGGAAGCCUGAUGCAGCAACGCCGGGUGCGGGAUGACGGCCUUCGGGUUGUAAACCGCUUUCGCUCAUGACGAAGCUUUGUGUGACGGUAGUGGGUAAAGAAGCACCGGCUAACUACGUG
rnacentral:rRNA from 1 species